rnacentral:rRNA from 1 species
CUACGGAGGAUGCGAGCGUUAUCCGGAUUUAUUGGGUUUAAAGGGAGCGUAGGUGGGAUAUUAAGUCAGCUGUGAAAGUUUGGGGCUCAACCUUAAAAUUGCAGUUGAUACUGGUUUCCUUGAGUACGGUACAGGUGGGCGGAAUUCGUGGUGUAGCGGUGAAAUGCUUAGAUAUCACGAAGAACUCCGAUCGCGAAGGCAGCUCACCGGGCCGGAACUGACACUGAUGCUCGAAAGUGCGGGUAUCAAACAGGAUUAGAUACCCUGGUAGUCCGCACAGUAAACGAUGAAUGCUCGCUGUUGGCGAUACACGGUAAGCGGCCAAGCGAAAGCGUUAAGUAUUCCACCUGGGGAGUACGCCGGCAACGGUGAAACUCAAAUGAAUUGACGGGG